rnacentral:lncRNA from 1 species
GUUACUGAACCGCAGCCCAGUGAGGGGAGACUCAGGUCUAGGUACCGGCGGGUGGGCUCAGCGCCCACGAGCUCCGAAAGCGGCGGGAGGCUGCCGUGGCCUCGGCAUCGUGGAGCACUUGAUAGACGUGCUGUUCUGACUCCUGUUAGCGCAGCGGAGGGCAGAGGCGAGGCGCGUGCCCACCCUCACAGAGGGCAGAGACGGGGAGCGGGCAGAGGCGAGGCGCGUGCCCACGCUCACGGAGGGCAGAGGCGGGGAGCGGGCAGAGGCGAGGCGCGUGCCCACGCUCACGGAGGGCAGAGACGGGGAGCGGGCAGAGGCGAGGCCGCGUGCCCACGCUCACGGAGGGCAGAGACGGGGAGCGGGCAGAGGCGAGGCCGCGUGCCCACGCUCACGGAGGGCAGAGACGGGGAGCGGGCAGAGGCGAGGCCGCGUGCCCACGCUCACGGAGGGCAGAGGCGGGGAGCGGGCAGAGGCGAGGCGCGUGCCCACGCUCACGGAGGGCAGAGACGGGGAGCCGGGUCUGAACCCUGGCUUCAUUCGGGAUGUGGUUCUGGGUUUGGAAAUCCCUUCCCCUGCGUGAGUUCUGCAGCCUCAGUAGGGGCAGGAAGGCUGGCGGCCUGGAACCCCUCCCCGCCGUCCUCGCCGGCCGCCUCCCACCCCCACGAAGACCCCCAGCUCUCCACCCCAGAAAGCAGCUCAGACUUUAAGCCAUUCAAAAUAAAACAAAAAUGGGGCCGGCCCCGUGGUAUAGCCGCUAAAGCCACCCCCUGCAGUGCCUGAAUCCCAUGAGGGCGCUGGUUCUAGUCCCAGCCGCUCUUCUUCCUAUCCAGCUCUCUGCUGUGGCCUGGGAAAGCAGCAGAAGAUGGCUCAAGUCCUUGGGCCCCUGCACCCAUGUGGGAGACGUGGAAGAAGCUCCUGGCUCCUGGCCUCGGAUUGGCCCAGCUCCUGCCAGUGUGGCCAUCUGGGGAGUGAACCAGUGGAUGGAAGACCCCUCUCUCUCUGCCUCCGCCCCCGCCUCUGCCUCUGUAAUUCUGCCUUUCAAAUAAAUAAAUCUAAAAUAAAUAAAUAAAGCCA